rnacentral:rRNA from 1 species
GAUGAACGCUGACAGAAUGCUUAACACAUGCAAGUCUACUUGAACUUCGGUUUGGGUGGCGGACGGGUGAGUAACGCGUAAAGAACUUGCCUCACAGAUAGGGACAACAUUUGGAAACGAAUGCUAAUACCUGAUAUUAUGAUUUUAGGGCAUCCUAGAAUUAUGAAAGCUAUAUGCACUGUGAGAGAGCUUUGCGUCCCAUUAGCUAGUUGGAGAGGUAACGGCUCACCAAGGCGAUGAUGGGUAGCCGGCCUGAGAGGGUGAUCGGCCACAAGGGGACUGAGACACGGCCCGUACUCCUACGGGAGGCAGCAGUGGGGAAUAUUGCACAAUGGACCAAGAGUCUGAUCCAGCAAUUCUGUGUGCACGAUGAAGUUUUUCGGAAUGUAAAGUGCUUUCAGUUGGGAAGAAAAAAAUGACGGUACCAACAGAAGAAGUGACGGCUAAAUACGUG